rnacentral:misc_RNA from 1 species
CAUAAUCAAAUUGAAGGGUACAGGGGCAAAACAAGAAAUGUCACAAAAACAAAAAGUUAUGUAAUUGACAUUUUAAUUUUUCAAAGUUAAAAACUUUCUUAAGUGUCAGUUAAAAUUAUAAAACGCUAAUAGGAACUUUAGUUUACAUUAUAAAGUCUUAUUUUUAGGAACAUAAAAUAUUGAAAUGAAAAUAUAUAUUUUUUUAUAAUUAAAAAAUUAAAGUAAUUCACUUUUGGAACAUACAAAAACUGGUAAUGUCCACUGUGUCCCAUACAAGGAAUGUCCAACUUAAUAAUUUUUUUACUAAUUAUGCAUGAGGAAUGCCUUCAAAGUAGGAUUGAGCCCCUUUAGAACAAAAUCUUUUUAAAUCCAUUAAAUCCUUGUACUUUUCUGCACUAAUAGGUAAAAAAAAUUGAUAGGAAAAUUCUGGUAAUUCAAAUUCAUUUGAUGUGUCUGAUCCAGUUCCCUUUUUUGCCACUAUGGGUGAUUUCUCCCAUAUACCAUUAUAAGUACUUCUGUGUAAAAUAAUUCUAGGGUGUUCUCUUACACACAUUAUUUCUCUUUGAGACUGCACAGGAAAUGAGCAUUUUUUCAGAUAUUUAUUUUGAAAAAAUUCUGAAAAUUUUCUGAUUACCUCGCCUAUUCCUACCUCAAUCACCUCAAAGGGUUUGGGUCUAUGGUGACUAACUCUCAGCAAAUCAUACUAAUGGUAUGGAACUUCCAUGGGGGUUUUUAGAUUGAUAAGGCCCAUAUUUUUGUCACAUUCUAAGUGUGAAUGUCCUCGGAUUG